UACGUAGGGGGCAAGCGUUGUCCGGAUUUAUUGGGCGUAAAGAGCGUGUAGGCGGCUUGACAGGUCUGCUGUGAAAACUCGAGGCUCAACCUCGAGAUGUCGGCGGAAACCGUCUGGCUAGAGUCCGGAAGAGGAGAGUGGAAUUCCUGGUGUAGCGGUGAAAUGCGCAGAUAUCAGGAAGAACACCUAUGGCGAAGGCAGCUCUCUGGGACGGUACUGACGCUGCGACGCGAAAGCGUGGGGAGCGAACAGG
rnacentral:rRNA from 1 species